CACGCCGUAAACGAUGUUCACUAGGUGUUGGGGGUAUUGACCCUCUCAGUGCCGUAGCUAACGCAUUAAGUGAACCGCCUGGGAAGUACGGUCGCAAGACUAAAACUCAAAGGAAUUGACGGGGGCCCGCACAAGCGGUGGAGCAUGUGGUUUAAUUCGAUGCAACGCGAAGAACCUUACCUGGGCUUGACAUCCCAAGAAUCCCCUGGAAACAGGGGAGUGCCCUUCGGGGAGCUUGGAGACAGGUGC
rnacentral:rRNA from 1 species